rnacentral:rRNA from 1 species
AUCAUUUAGGGUUCUUUAGAGGGUAUUUUUUAUUGGGUUAAUUGUGGUAUUUUUGGAGUUAAUCCAUGCAAUUGGGUUCGAUUCCUUGGGGGGAGGAGUGUUUUUUUUGGACCAGGACCAUUGGGUUUGGGCGGACAAUCGUGGUGACUCUGGAUAACUAUAGCGGAUCGCACGGCCCUCGUGCCGGCGACGCAUCUUUCAAGUGUCUGCCUUAUCAACUUUCGAUGGUAGGUUAUGUGCCUACCAUGGUUGUUACGGGUAACGGGGAAUCAGGGUUCGAUUCCGGAGAGGGAGCCUGAGAAACGGCUACCACAUCCAAGGAAGGCAGCAGGCGCGCAAAUUACCCACUCCCGGCACGGGGAGGUAGUGACGAAAAAUAACAAUACGGGACUCUAUCGAGUUCCCGUAAUUGGAAUGAGUACACUCUAAACCUUUUAACAAGGAUCAAUUGGAGGG